rnacentral:rRNA from 1 species
UACAGAGACUGCAAGCGUUGUCCGGAUUUACUGGGCGUAAAGAGCGCGCAGGCGGUCGUUCAAGUCGCGUGUGAAAGCCCCCGGCUCAACUGGGGAGGGUCACGCGAUACUGAUCGACUCGAAGGCAGGAGAGGGUAGUGGAAUUCCCGGUGUAGUGGUGAAAUGCGUAGAUAUCGGGAAGAACACCAAUGGCGAAGGCAGCUCUCUGGAACGCAACUGACGCUGAGACGCGAAAGCGUGGGGAGCAAACAGG